GAAGAGAUAAGAAAAAAAAAAGAAAAAAAAGAUAAGGAUUAGAGAAGAAAGAGAGAGAAAGAAGAAAAGAGAAGAAAAGAGAGAGCACGGGAGAAGGAGAUGGAAGGGAGAAGAAAGAUUGGCCGAAGCCACGGAAGAAGGAAGGAAGGAGGAGAACGAUCCUCCAUGGAAGAAGAAGAAAAGAGAUUUUGAUGAAAGGUAUAAAUUUCUUCCUUUAUUUAUUUUAUGAAAUUGAUGAAAAGGGGGUUUUGAUUUGGAUGUUCAAACCCUUAAGAUCUAUGUAUUUUCUAUGGAUUUAUGUAUGGAUUUACUCAUUUUUGAUGUUGAUUUGGGUGAAUCAAAAGAAUAAAGAAAAUUUAUUUUCUAGUUUUGAAUCCGAAAUUUCCUAGUACUUUGAAAUUUCACCGUUUUAAAUCUAUGACUUCUUUUUGCGAUCCGUCAAAAAGGGAUGUUAGAUAUAUGUGUUUAGUAGUUAACCCAAGUGGUAGUACUCAAAAAUGUUGAGUUUACAUGGGGUAGUGACUGAUUUGGUGAAAACAGUUCCGUUUUUAUAACCAAAAAUGGGCAGAUUCGGGGCAGUCAGUAGCGAGGGCAAUUUCGUCCAGUUUUUGUGCUUUAAAAAUUCUGGGCUUUUGAUAUGUUGUAGUACACUGUUUUAGCUUUCCAUAGACUCCGGAACGGACUAAUUCCGACUCCGGAUGA
rnacentral:lncRNA from 1 species